rnacentral:rRNA from 1 species
GACGAACGCUGGCGGCGUGCUUAACACAUGCAAGUCGAACGGAAAGGCCCUGCUUUUGUGGGGUGCUCGAGUGGCGAACGGGUGAGUAACACGUGAGUAACCUGCCCUUGACUUUGGGAUAACUUCAGGAAACUGGGGCUAAUACCGGAUAGGAGCUCCUGCUGCAUGGUGGGGGUUGGAAAGUUUCGGCGGUUGGGGAUGGACUCGCGGCUUAUCAGCUUGUUGGUGGGGUAGUGGCUUACCAAGGCUUUGACGGGUAGCCGGCCUGGGAGGGUGACCGGGCACAUUGGGACUGAGAUACGGCCCAGACUGCUACGGGAGGCAGCAGUGGGAAAUAUUGCGCAGUGGGCGGAAGCCUGAUGCGGCAACGCCGCGUGCGGGAUGACGGCCUUCGGGUUGUGAACAGCUUUCGACUGUGACGAAGCGUGAGUGACGGUAAUGGGUAAAGAAGCACCGGCUAACUACGUG